AGCAGCCGCGGUAAUUCCAGCUCCAAUAGCGUAUAUUAAAGUUGUUGCAGUUAAAAAGCUCGUAGUUGAAUUUCGGGAUCAAUAUGUUGGUCGUGCCUCGGUACGUACUAGCAUAUUGGUUUCUCCUUUCUGAAGAACCAUGAUGCCAUUAAUUUGGUGUCGUGGGGAAUCAGGACUGUUACUUUGAAAAAAUUAGAGUGUUUAAAGCAAGCAUACGCUUGAAUACAUUAGCAUGGAAUAAUGAAAUAGGACGUUUGAUUCUAUUUUGUUGGUUUCUAGGAUCGACGUAAUGAUUAAUAGGGAUAGUUGGGGGCAUUAGUAUUCAAUUGUCAGAGGUGAAAUUCUUGGAUUUAUUGAAGACUAACUACUGCGAAAGCAUUUGCCAAGGAUGUUUUCAUUAAUCAAGAACGAAAGUUAGGGGAUCGAAGGCGAUCAGAUACCGUCGUAGUCUUAACCAUAAACUAUGCCGACUAGGGAUCGGAUGAUGUUAAUUUUUUAAUGACUCAUUCGGCGCCUUACG
rnacentral:misc_RNA from 1 species